rnacentral:tRNA from 1 species
GAAGGUAUAGCUCAGUGGUAGAGUGCAAAGCUUAGCAUGCACGAGCUCCCGGGUUCAAUCCCUGGUCCCUCCG